rnacentral:rRNA from 1 species
UUUCCGGUUGAUCCCGCCGGACCCGACUGCUAUCAGAAUAGGACUAAGCCAUGCGAGUCAACGUAGCAAUACGUGGCAUACGGCUCAGUAACACGUAGUCAACAUGCCCAGGGGACGUGGAUAACCUCGGGAAACUGAGGAUAAACCGCGAUAGGUCAUAAUAUCUGGAAUGAUUUAUGGCUAAAAUCUACAUGGCCCCUGGAUUGGACUGCGGCCGAUCAGGCUGUUGGUGAGGUAAUGGCCCACCAAACCUAAAACCGGUACGGGCUCUGAGAGGAGAAGCCCGGAGAUGGGCACUGAGACAAGGGCCCAGGCCCUAUGGGGCGCAGCAGGCGCGAAAACUCUGCAAUAAGCGAAAGCUUGACAGGGUUAUUCUGAGUGAUUUCCGCUAAGGAGAUCUUUUGGCACCUCUAAAAAUGGUGCAGAAUAAGGGGUGGCAAGCCUGGUGUCAGCCGCCGCGGUAAUACCAGCACCCCGAGUGGUCGGGACGAUUAUUGGGCCUAAAGCAUCCGUAGCCGGUUCUACAAGUCUUCCGUUAAAUCCACCUGCUUAACAGUUGGGCUGCAGAGGAUACUAUAGAGCUAGGAGGCGGGAGAGGCAAGCGGUACUUAGUGGGUAGGGGUAAAAUCCGUUGAUCCACUGAAGACCACCAGUGGCGAAGGCGGCUUGCCAGAACGCGCUCGACGGUGAGGGAUGAAAGCUGGGGGAGCAAACCGGAUUAGAUACCCGGGUAGUCCCAGCUGUAAACGAUGCAGACUCGGUGAUGAAUAGGCUUCGUGCCUAUUCAGUGCCGCAGGGAAGCCGUUAAGUCUGCCGCCUGGGGAGUACGGUCGCAAGACUGAAACUUAAAGGAAUUGGCGGGGGAGCACCACAAGGGGUGAAGCCUGCGGUUCAAUUGGAUUCAACGCCGGA